GGCGGUCCUUCUCCGUUAAAUAUCCCAGAAUUCUUUGCACCGGUCACAUGUGUUCAUUGCUUCUUGCACAGAGAUCACACGAUCGGUUGGAGACAGCAUGAGCGGACGCAGUAUGGGCGUUGAUUGUCCAUCAGAACCCCCUGACUGAAGAAACUACAGUUUCUACGAUGUAUUACCUAAAAAGGCUCAUGGUUUGGUCCUGAGGCUACAGUUAUGCUGAAGAAUCCUUCUCUAACUGCUACUUUCUAAUGGUGGUGAAUGUAAGAACUACAGUCAUUAGAUUCCAUUGAGGGCUUCAUUUUGGGGCACAUGUAUUCGGUGACUGGUUGCUGCUUCCUCGGCAGUGAUUCAACUUGAGUGGAGCUAAUUUUCUUGCCAUGUUUGAAGUACAUCUGAAAUGAGUGGCGUUUGUUGUAAACUGUGUUUGCAUUGUAUAAAAAUUGUAUGCAUUGUUACAAUAAAGAGCGAUGCUUGUAUAUUUUCUGUUCUUAA